ACGGAAGGCAGCAGUAGGUAAUCUUCGGCAAUGGGGGCAACCCUGACCGAGCAACGCCGCGUGAGUGAAGAAGGUUUUCGGAUCGUAAAGCUCUGUUGUAAGAGAAGAACGUGUGUGAGAGUGGAAGGUUCACACAGUGACGGUAACUUACCAGAAAGGGACAGCUAACUACGUGCCAGCAGCCGCGGUAAUACGUAGGUCCCGAGCGUUGUCCGGAUUUAUUGGGCGUAAAGCGAGCGCAGGCGGUUUAAUAAGUCUGAAGUUAAAGGCAGUGGCUUAACCAUUGUUCGCUUUGGAAACUGUUAGACUUGAGUGCAGAAGGGGAGAGUGGAAUUCCAUGUGUAGCGGUGAAAUGCGUAGAUAUAUGGAGGAACACCGUUGGCGAAAGCGGCUCGCUGGUCUGUAACUGACGCUGAGGCUCGAAAGCGUGGGGAGCAAACAGGAUUAGAUACCCUGGUA
rnacentral:rRNA from 1 species